CCAAUAGCGUAUAUUAAAGUUGUUGCAGUUAAAAAGCUCGUAGUUGAAUUUCGGGAUCAGAUUGUCGGUCGUGCCUCGGUACGCACUGGCAUUAUUGGUUCCUACCUUCUGAAGAACCGCGAUGUCAUUAAUUUGGUGUCGUGGGGAAUCAGGACUGUUACUUUGAAAAAAUUAGAGUGUUUAAAGCAGGCGCACGCUUGAAUACAUUAGCAUGGAAUAAUGGAAUAGGACGUUUGAUUCUAUUUUGUUGGUUUCUAGGAUCGACGUAAUGAUUAAUAGGG
rnacentral:rRNA from 1 species